UCCUGCCGGACCUGACUGCUACCGGAUUGAUACUAAGCCAUGCGAGUCAUUGUAGCAAUACAAGGCAUACGGCUCAGUAACGCGUAGUCAACCUAACCUAUGGACGGGAAUAACCUCGGGAAACUGAGAAUAAUGCCCGAUAGAACAUUAUACCUGGAAUGGUUUAUGUUCCAAAUGAUUUAUCGCCAUAGGAUGGGACUGCGGCCUAUCAGUUUGUUGGUGAGGUAAUGGCCCACCAAGACUGUUACAGGUACGGGCUCUGAGAGGAGUAGCCCGGAGAUGGGUACUGAGACACGGACCCAGGCCCUAUGGGGCGCAGCAGGCGAGAAAACUUUGCAAUGUGCGAAAGCACGACAAGGUUAAUCCGAGUGGUUUCUGCUAGAGGAACCUUUUGUUAGUCCUAAAAACACUAACGAAUAAGGGGUGGGCAAGUUCUGGUGUCAGCCGCCGCGGUAAAACCAGCACCUCAAGUGGUCAGGAUGAUUAUUGGGCCUAAAGCAUCCGUAGCCUGCUCUGUAAGUUUUCGGUUAAAUCUGUAUGCUCAACAUACAGGCCGCCGGAAAUACUGCAGGGCUAGGGAGUGGGAGAGGUAGACGGUACUCGGGAGGAAGUGGUAAAAUGCUUUGAUCUCUCGAUGACCACCUGUGGCGAAGGCGGUCUACCAGAACACGUCCGACGGUGAGGGAUGAAAGCUGGGGGAGCAAACCGGAUUAGAUACCCGGGUAGUCCCAGCCGUAAACUAUGCAAACUCAGUGAUGCAUUGGCUUGUGGCCAAUGCAGUGUUGCAGGGAAGCCGUUAAGUUUGCCGCCUGGGAAGUACGUACGCAAGUAUGAAACUU
rnacentral:rRNA from 1 species